CGUAAUAUGGUAACACAAUAUAACUUUAGAUAGCGAUAAUAGGAAAAAUAUCUAAAAGAUACACGACGAAUAGUACGUUUAUUUCCCACGGUGGGUAUUGUUGGGUGGUAGGAGCCGGUUUUCCAACCAACUUUUCUGGGAAUUGGAGAACGGGAAAACGAAAAAAUUCCCGAAAAUGGGCGAGAAGGAAUUCCCGUCGAGAAGCCCUACACUCACCUAUUGUUUAUAUAUAUACACAGCCAAGCUAAUAGUUACGAAAGAUGCGAAGAUUUAUAAAAGAACUCGGAGACGAGUUUAGAUGGGCAUAAAAUCGUCCGAUAACGCUGACGCCAUUUCCUACCACGCUGAAUGUAUCCCCUCCGCCUGGUAGGGGAGUCCACCGUUUAUAAUCCAUUAGCGCGGUAUAAUCUGGUGGUAAAGGUGUUAUUUCUAAUACUUAAGCCGUAUAAUUCUUCCGAGGAUAUCGAUAUUCAACCAAUACAGUUAUUAUUCAAAUUACCGACGAAUACCGUGUUAGGAAAGCCACCAAUGAAAUUUAAGAAAUACACUUAAGUUAGCCAACGAGUAAGUGGGGAUAAAUUAAAUGGAAGCGAAAGUUAAGGAAACUCUGAGAGAAAUAUCAGGAAAACAUAAAAUGAUUAGAAAUAAAAGAAGAAAAAUAUUAAGUUAUAAAGAUACUUAAAUUACAGUCGGAGAUUUGUUUUUACCACGACCAGCCAAACCGAAUAGAAUUUAAAAAGUAAAUAUAAAUAAUAACGAUAAGACUAAAUAUAUUUAAAUUUUUGAUUAGUUUCUCCACCUUAAGUUUCAGUUUUCGAAUCGUCGACUACCAUUAAGUCACGCGUAAUAUGUAAAAUAAGAUAUUUACAAAUGUUAAUAAUAAUAAGUAAAUAAAUUUCCGUAGGUAAAACAGAAUACCAAUAUUCCAGAAGAGAAGCUGAUAGGAAAUAAAAGCAUUAU
rnacentral:lncRNA from 1 species